rnacentral:misc_RNA from 1 species
GAAAGAACAGUUGGCAGAGGAUCAGUCUGUGUCUCUUUCAACAGUUGUAACAGAUGAGUUGCAAAGGACAACAAAAAUAUCUGAAUCAGGGAGUUCAGUGGAGCUCAAUGUUGUUGGAUUAGAGCUGAACUCAAGUGAGAUGGCGUGAGAACACAGCUAUGAAGGUGGAAUUCAGUUUGGAUGAUCAGCUUGGCCUAAGUUACAGGUAGGUACUUAAAAGUGAAAACAACUGCCUAAGAACAUUACAUAUCAGCCUGAAACAGUCAGUUUGGUGUCACAACUUGUGUGUUCCCAAACUGAUUGCUAAACGCUGUGUGGUGUUUAUUUCACGAGGAAUAAAGUUGUGAAUUCGGAAAGCUCAUUGCAAAUUCUGUAUAUAAAAUUAGCAUUUUGUGGCCUAUAGUGUGUUUUUCCUGGUUAUUUCAUGCACUGAAAGAGAAUAUCUAGCUUUUGCUGCUUUGUUUAAAGUUGAAGCCUGGUACUGUACCGAUUUGGAAGAAUGCUUUCUCUUAUACCAUAUGCAGUCCAUUUGUUUUGAGGAUGCUUCAUCCAUGUUUAGCUAGGAAAAUUGGCUGAAAACUUUUAUGAGACACCACCCUUCGUGAGAUGUCAAUAAGAUACAUUCCAAUUUCUAUAUAGAUGGAUUCUAACAAAAU